UUUUUCCUUCCAAAAUGGCUUCACUCUAGCGUAUGUGAAACCAAGUAACUGAAAAUUAGGUAAAGCAGUAAAUAGGGCAAGGGUUAUCUACAGUUCUUCCCAGGCCCUAAAGUUUCCUGUGUGAAUUUGUGCAACUCUUCCUCUCAACCAUAAAGGAAGAUGUUAUACUCAUACCAAGCAAGCACAGAGCAAUCAAGUUUUUACCAUCUAGGAUAUACUAUUUUCUCCUCUUGCCCAUGUUCCUGACUAUAUUCAAUGACAUUUCAAUUAAA